UACGUAGGGCGCAAGCGUUGUCCGGAAUUAUUGGGCGUAAAGAGCUCGUAGGCGGUUUGUCGCGUCUGUCGUGAAAGCCCACGGCUUAACCGUGGGUCUGCGGUGGAUACGGGCAGACUAGAGGCAGGUAGGGGAGAAUGGAAUUCCCGGUGUAGCGGUGAAAUGCGCAGAUAUCGGGAGGAACACCGGUGGCGAAGGCGGUUCUCUGGGCCUUGCCUGACGCUGAGGCGCGAAAGCUAGGGGAGCGAACAGG
rnacentral:rRNA from 1 species